rnacentral:rRNA from 1 species
UACAGAGGGGGCAAGCGUUGUUCGGAAUUACUGGGCGUAAAGGGCGCGUAGGCGGCCUUCUAAGUCGAACGUGAAAUCCCUCGGCUUAACCGGGGAACUGCGUCUGAUACUGGAUGGCUUGAGAUUGGGAGAGGGAUGCGGAAUUCCAGGUGUAGCGGUGAAAUGCGUAGAUAUCUGGAGGAACACCGGUGGCGAAGGCGGCAUCCUGGACCAACACUGACGCUGAGGAGCGAAAGCCAGGGGAGCAAACGGG